rnacentral:rRNA from 1 species
UACAGAGGGGGCGAGCGUUGUUCGGAAUUACUGGGCGUAAAGGGCGCGUAGGCGGCCAACUAAGUCAGACGUGAAAUCCCUCGGCUCAACCGGGGAACUGCGUCUGAUACUGGACGGCUUGAGUAUGGGAGAGGGAUGUAGAAUUCCAGGUGUAGCGGUGAAAUGCGUAGAUAUCUGGAGGAAUACCGGUGGCGAAGGCGG